UAAGAAACAUUUUAGUUAAUUGUAAUGUUAAUGACUGUAGAGAAACCUUACUUUGUUCUGUGAUGGUGGACUGUCCAUCUUGACUGAGCAAUUGGAUUUGUGACAUCACUGAAAGCAAAUAAUUAUGCAUGGGUGAUUAAACUUUUUAUGAAUUUGUAAGGUUAUGUAUAUUUCUCUAUUUGUUUUGAUAAAUACUUAUCAAGCAGGGGGUUUCUAUGAAUAGCAUAUAUGACAAAUGUGAUUUUACUCUGCUGUGUUGGUUCAGUGAACCAAGCAUCCUGAAUUCUUCCCUGAUAGGACCGGGCCUUUGACAUCACUGAAAAAAAGAAAUAGAUUCUGGGAAGGAGGUUUCAUCCGAGUAUCCCUGAACAUUUGUCUGGAAGCACUCAUCCUGUGACAUCACUAAAAAAUCAUAAUUUGAUUACCUGAGCUGUAAAGGAUACGAGCUUGGUGCUGUGUCCAUCCUCUGCUCACAUUUGGGACCUCACUGCCUCGGAUACUUUUUAGAAGUUUGGCUUUGUCUGUGUAUGGAGGCCACCAUGAUAUGCCCUCAUGGUACCACUCUGCUGCCACCGGGCUUGUUGUUCCCUCAUCCACAAAUUCAACCAUUCGCGAUACUGACUGGCUGUUUGGAUGGACCUGGGAAGUGGACCACAUGCAUGAACUUUGUAUAAUCCCAUUCUUUUCCUAUUUCGAUUCAGUUUUUUGGGCCUCUCUGACAGUCUUCUAAUGACCUGACUGAGUGGGAAGCCAGGUUUUCUAAUUAGCUUUUUAAUCUGGUGAAGGAAAGAUUCAAAUUUAAAUGCACUGAAAUUAUCGAGUGCACCAUGUAUUUUUACAUCUUGUGCCAAGUGAACAAGGUUGUGUACAUUGUAAGACAUGAACUUUUCCCCAUAGAGCUCUUGAAAGUGUUUCACAAAUAAAACCAAAAUGUCAUUAGCAUACUCAAGAUGGUCUCGGAGUAGCUGUUUGCUGGAUAAAAUGAACACUCCCACAAAAAGUAGAAGAAAGUUUUGGUAUGCUGUUGUAAUGAGUGUGCUAUUUAAAAGAACAGGCCCACUGUACAACAAAAACUGCCGGAACUCAGUAGCUUUCCACCUGUCUAACUCUCUUACAGACCUUGGUUGUCGCGAGAAUUCCAAGGGAACAUUUUUACGGAUUUGCUGAAGUCUGCUUGAAAGGUUGUCAACAGUAGAGGCAGGCAGUCUGCAGGACAAAGGACCCCGUAGCCACAACAAAAGGAGCCUGCGCAUAACACCAAGGCACACAAGUCUCCACCAUGGUUUGUUGUGCUGCCUGGAGAUGCUCCUGUCGCUCAGAGUGACUGACACACAUCUUAACAUUACCAGAGAUUACACCAACAAAAAUGAGGUUUUGGCUCGAAUCUCAGCAUGUACAACGGACAUCAUCUUAUGGAGCAGCAGCUUAAGUUGUCUUCAACCUUCAAAAGUUCAAACACAUCACUUCCCUCCUGUGUACCCUUCCCUGGCUUCCUGUAGCAGCCUCCCCUUGAGUGAACAGCAGAAUGACUGUCUUAGAACAGAGUCAAACUUAGGAGAGUCUCCUAAAUUAUAGAAAAGCUCUUAGUGCUGCUAGAGCAAAAUAUUUCUCCUCGCUAGAAGAAAACAAAACUAAUCCUACAUUUAAUACUGUAGCAAAACUAACUAGGAAGACCACCACUACAGAAGCAUCCACACCAUCAGUAUUUAGCAGCGACAACUUUAUGAAUUUUUUCAGUGAUGAAGUUGAAAACAUAUGGCACAAAAUUAAUACUAUUAAUCUAAACCUGAGCAAUCUGAUGACAAACCAACUAGAUGUCAGUAUAGUUACAUCAGAUCAGCGUUUAGAGUCUUUUAACCCUCUCCGUGAGACCAAGUUAAUUUCACUAAUUUCUUGAU